rnacentral:rRNA from 1 species
CCUACGGGAGGCAGCAGUGGGGAAUAUUGCACAAUGGGGGGAACCCUGAUCCAGCGACGCCGCGUGAGUGAAGAAGUAUUUCGGUAUGUAAAGCUCUAUCAGCAGGGAAGAAAAUGACGGUACCUGACUAAGAAGCCCCGGCUAACUACGUGCCAGCAGCCGCGGUAAUACGGAGGGGGCAAGCGUUAUCCGGAUUUACUGGGUGUAAAGGGAGCGUAGACGGUGCAGCAAGUCUGAUGUGAAAGCUCGGGGCUCAACCCCGGGACUGCAUUGGAAACUGGUGAUCUUGAGUACAGGAGAGGUAAGUGGAAUUCCUGGUGUAGCGGUGAAAUGCGUAGAUAUCAGGAGGAAUACCAGUGGCGAAGGCGGCUUACUGGACUGUAACUGACGUUGAGGCGCGAAAGCGUGGGGAGCAAACAGGAUUAGAUACCCCAGUAGUC